CCGAGUGACACGGGGUGCCCGCCGCGCGGGCUGAGAUCACACCCGUCGAACCUGAUCUAGUUCGUACUGGCGAAGGGAUGUCGCAAUGAGCAUCG
rnacentral:ncRNA from 1 species